rnacentral:misc_RNA from 1 species
GUUAACUGCCAGUUUCUCUCUUCAAGUGUACUGGUGGUCCGAAUGUUACUUGUGUCAAAAAAUAUCCAAUGGUACUUGCCUAUACAAGAGCAAUGAAAAGUUCCCGUNNNNNNAAAACUAAUUCCAAUACCCUCGGAAACAAGCCAGCCAAAAAGACAAGGAGGACCGAAAAGGAAGCUAGAAAUAGGUCUCACAUGCCUUGCUGCCGAC